GAGAGCUGGGGGUGGGCACAGCCUGCCCCAUCCCUGCACUGUCCCCUUGGCACAGCCCCAUGGGUCUGGGGGCAGAUCUGGGGAGGCUCUGGGGCACAGGAGGUGCCCCUCAGCAGCUGGGGAAUGCCUUGUGUGAGCUGGGAAGGGGCUGGCAGGGAGCUACGACAAACACCUCGCUACGGAAAGAGCUCUGAGCCGCUGCUGCUUCCCGCAGGAGACGACAAAGCCACGAUCCCGGUGACGGACACCGAGUUCAGCCAAGCCGUAAACCCACAGAGCUUCUGCACAGGCGUGUCCCUGCACCACCCUGCCCUGAUCCAGAACACGGGGCCACUCAUCGACAUGUCGGACAUACGCCCGGGCACCAGUAAGUGCUGGGCUGGGGACACUGGGGGCACUGGGGGAGGCAGAGCUGGGCACCCCCCGGGUGCGUGGCCAAAAGCAGCCACAGGCGAUGCAGAGGGAGCAGGGAGCGCUGCGGCGAGGUGGCUCUGACCGAGCCAACGUGCCCUCACCAUCAUUUUCUAGACCCCGUGUCCAGGAAGAGCGUCAAGUCUGCGCACAGCACCCGCAACCGCUACUCCAGCCAGUGGACCCUCACCAAGUGCCAGGCGUCCACGCCGGCGCGCACCCUCACCUCGGACUGGCGGACGGUGGGCUCGCAGCACGGCAUCACUGUCACCGAGAGCGACAGCUACAGUGCCAGCCUCUCCCAGGACACGGACAAGGGCCGGAACAGCAUGGUGUCGACGGAGAGCGCCUCGUCCACCUACGAGGAGCUGGCGCGCGCCUACGAGCACGCCAAGCUGGAGGAGCAGCUGCAGCACGCCAAGUUCGAGAUCACCGAGUGCUUCAUCUCCGACAGCUCCUCCGACCAGAUGACCACGGGCACCACCGACAACGCCGACAGCAUGACCUCCAUGAGCACCCCCUCGGAGCCCGGCAUCUGCCGCUUCACCGCCUCCCCGCCCAAGCCCCAGGACAGCGAGCGGGGCAAGAGCGUGGCCGUGCCCAUCCCACACCGCGCCAGCAAGAGUACGUAGCGCAUCGGGCACAAGCACAAAGCUACCAC
rnacentral:lncRNA from 1 species